rnacentral:rRNA from 1 species
UACGAAGGGUGCAAGCGUUAAUCGGAAUUACUGGGCGUAAAGGGUGCGUAGGCGGUUCGUUAAGUCUGUCGUGAAAUCCCCGGGCUCAACUUGGGAAUUGCAAUGGAUACUGGCAGGCUAGAGUAUGGUAGAGGAAGGUGGAAUUCCCGGUGUAGCAGUGAAAUGCGUAGAGAUCGGGAGGAACACCAGUGGCGAAGGCGGCCUUCUGGACCAAUACUGACGCUCAUGCACGAAAGCGUGGGGAGCAAACAGG